UACGUAGGGUGCAAGCGUUAAUCGGAAUUACUGGGCGUAAAGCGCACGUAGGCGGCUUUGCAAGUCAGAGGUGAAAGCCCGGGGCUCAACCCCGGAAUAGCCUUUGAGACUGCAUCGCUUGAACAUCGGAGAGGUAAGUGGAAUUCCGAGUGUAGAGGUGAAAUGCGCAGAUAUCGGGAAGAACACCCGUGGCGAAGGCGGCUCUCUGGGACGGUACUGACGCUGAGACGCGAAAGCGUGGGGAGCGAACAGG
rnacentral:rRNA from 1 species